rnacentral:ncRNA from 1 species
UACAAUGCUAUGAUAAGAAAAGUAAGUUAAUUUGUCUUAAAGCGAGUCCUGUUUGAUGUGAGAGGAUAAGUAUUAAAUGAACUGAAACGUACCUUUGAGCAUAUGAAUAAAAAAUUCAUACGUUUACUCACGUUAUAGAGUUAUAGUAUAAUGUAAUAUACUUACAGAGGUCUGUUUUGUGAAAAAUAGAUAAAUUUGGGUGGUAUCACGAGUUUUCGUCCCUUUA